UUCCUAUGUCACACUUGUAUAUCUUAAUAAGGAAAUUUUACUAGGUCACUCCUUACAUGCUCCGUUCCCAUUGGUCUAAAAUCGGGAACGCGACAAGCUCGUCCAUCGGGGAAUUUGUUCCAGGCUGCGCAAUACUUAAAAGAGCUCCCAAGGUGCCGAUCCUUUCCAACCUCCCGACUAAUUCACCCUCAUUUCAGCCACGCUUAAAGCGUCGUAAACUACGAUGUCAGAUCGGUUAUCCGAGGUUUGUCGUUAAGCACCUUGCUUACGACAUCGGCUACUAAAUCCCCCACCUAGCACAAAGUUCACCUGGUACCUCUCCGCUUCCUCUAAAGAGGAGGGGACUUGCAGGUUUUUGACCUGACCAUGACCUCCCACAAAUCUCCAGUCUGAGAAUCGAGACAUGGUCACUGCCUACGAUUCUUAGAAUUCAAGUUGAUAUAAUGAAAUAGGGUGAUUGUAUAUACCCUAAUAAUAGAAAUCAAUUUUAUACUCCCAUAGGAGGAGACCUAACAAAAUGGGGCGAAUAGCUUUCCUAACAAUAGAGUUGUACAGUCCUGUGAGGCUGGCGUUCCUAACAAAUAAAGAAAUCAAAAUUAAAAAUUGAACCUACUGGUUCCCUAACCCUAUUCUAAAGUAAUUUUGGUCUAACAGUAUAAUUGACUGCAGCUUUCUCACAUUCAUUUCGCAUUCCCAUUCAUACAAUUCAUUCAUAGCGAGCAAUCAUACUAAAGCUAAAUUCUAUUAUAUAAGCCAAAACACUUCAAUAAUCAAUGUCAACAUUACCCUAACAAUAGCUAAUCUCCAGGACUAAUGUGAAAUCAAAUAAAGUUUUUUAAUUAAAACAAAGUGGGGACUAAAGCCCUAUUAACCUAAAUAAAUGCCUCAUACAAACUCUAUAUAAAUUAUCUAAUCAUAGAUAAAUAUUAUUUAUAAAUAAACAGAUAAAUAAAUCAAACUAUGUUGAUUGUCAACAAUUGUAUUCUGAAAUCUAGCCUAUCACUUUAACUGUGUGUCUAACAGUUUGAAAAUCUUCUUAUCUUGACACUUGGUGUCUAAAUAAACGAAUCAUCAAGACUAGCACUUAAAUGGAGCGAACUGGACUUCAAGCAUUUGCCUCAUUGCCAAACCUGAUCGACCUACAAGUGUUUUUCCAACCCUAUUUCUUAUAUAGGUCAUUGGCAUUCUCCUUCCUCUGCUAUUCUGCUAAACUCUUUCUUUGGACUUAUAGGGGUUUCAGUACCCAGCUCGUUCUGGAGUUUAACAACAGAGGUCACUUGUUGCUUUAUCAUAUCAAUUCUUAGACUGUAAUUGCCUUACACACUCUCAUUAGAAAUUCUCUUUGGACUGUAUAACUGGACCCAGGGAUUACAGGGAGUCAAGUUUUUCCCAACGCAAGUUCCAAGUCUGUCCAUAGAGAAUUGGUUACAAGCACAGCAAUUGCCCAGUGCGUCUAAGUCCCUUAAUUAUUUUUAAAGUUGAACCACUGUUCAGAACCUUCAAUAAAAAAUUAAAACAAAAUAAACUGUUGAACUCACGACUUAAAUCACAAUUUGCUAUCAACACAGAAUAGCCUCUUCAAUUAAAAAAAAAACUGAAAAUCCUUUAAAACCACAAUCUAGGGCCUUUAACUCACUCUCUAAUACUUCAUACUAUGAUCAAAAUGUAACUAACUCUAGUACACAUUCUAUAGGUUUAAUCAUUGGCAACCUGGACAUGAUUUGCACUCAUUGGGCCUCUUGACCCUGGUUGAACGGCGUAUUUCAUGGCCGUCAAUAUUGCCACCAAUUGCCCUAUUUACUACCUCAGGCGGGUUUCCUAAGGUUGCUGUCUCUCGCGGUUCCUCUGGUUCUACAGUUCUAUGGGAAUAUAUUGGAUAUGUUGGGUGUACCCAGUGAUCCUCAUCAUCAAUGACACCAUCUAUUUGCUCUUGUACGUUUUCGUCUCCUGUAGGGUAAGUCUUUACCGGGGCAUGAUAGGCCUUCAUUCUGUCUAUGUGGAUCUUAUCUAAGUUCCCCGUCUCCAAAUCCUUCAAAAGGUAAACAGUGUUGCCCGUCCUUUGUAGUACCUCAUAAGGUCCUCUGUACCUUGGCUCAAAUUUAUGACGUCCUUUCGUCUCAUGCAUUCUUUUUACCAAAGCUAGAUCCCCUGUCUCAAAGGUCCUCAACUCUCUGGCUUCAAACUCAGCCCUGGCCUCUUGUUGCUCCUUCAAGUAAGUCUGCCUCACCACCUCUCUCGCCUUUUCAACCUCCUCCACCAAUUCCCGCUCAUAGAAGGCCGCCAUUUCGGUAAUCGAAUCUUCGCAUACAGGAUUAAGCUCCUCUUCCUGGAAAGGUUGUGGGAGCCUCAGCUCAUGUCCGAAGACCAGUUUCGCUGGAGUAAAUCCAGUACUAGAGUGUACAGUGGUCCUGAUAGCUAAGGCUACCAUUGGUAGGGUGGCAUCCCAAUUGUUCCCCGCUGUACACCUGCGUAGAGAUUCUAUUACCAUCCUAUUGAGCCUUUCUACGGCGCCAUUACUCUGAGGUCUCCAGGCCGUGGUAUUUACUGCUCCAACCACCAUAGCCUUGCAGACUCCCUUGAAUACGCAACUCAUGAAUGCUGAUCCUCGGUCAGAGAGUAUCGUUUUUGGUACCCCAAAGGUAGUGAUUAUCCUUUCCAACAAGGCCCUAACCACUGUAUUGGCACACUGGUCCUUAGUAGGAAUCAGAAUUGGGAACUUAGUAAAUAGGUCCACAAUGGUCAGAAUACUCGAAUAACCUCUUGGGGUUACUUCUAAUGGUCCUAUGAAGUCUAGAGCUAGGUGCUCAAAGGGUUUUUCGGGUCUAAAGUGGGGAGCACUAGCGGCUUUGGCUACGCCUUGAUUCGAUAGCUGGCAGCUCUCGCAUCUGCGUAUAUAUUUCCGGACUUGUGUCCUCAUGCCAGGCCAGUAAUAGUCACCCUUCAGCCUUCUCAUAACCUUUCUAACUCCGAAAUGACCUCCAGUAGCGAUGUCAUGAUGAUAGCUGAUCACUGUUUCCCUAAAACCUGUAGGAACCACCUUCACCCAGGUACCCCUUUCAUUCUUUGUAACGAGGUAUUUGUCUAGUAACCUAUAUUCCCGGUUAUUAUACCUCUCCGUGCUAUUUGGUUUUAAUUUCGUUAACUUAUUCAUUACUGGAGCCCAUCCUUCCUCUUGAAGUAAACCUUCCCAUAUCUGAUUACUAUUUAAUAAGGGGGGCCGACGGUCUCUUACCACCGCGGCCACCACCCUCCUAUCUUGUGGUAGGCUUGGAUCAUCCUCGCACGGGAACCUACUAAGGAAGUCGGCUACCGUGUUUUCCUUCCCCGGGACAUAAAUGUAUGUAACGUUGAAGUCUUGGAUGAUCUCUGCCCACCUAGACAGUCGGGCGUUCUUAUAAUCAGACCCCUUAUUAUAAGUAAUCGGUUUAUGGUCAGUAUGUACUUCUACUCUACUGCCCGCCAGGAGGUGUUUAAAGUGUUGUAGGGACAACACUACUGCAUAAGCCUCCUUUUCUAUUGUGGAAUAGCGGAUCUCAGGACCAGUCAGUCUCUUGCUAUAAUAAGCAAUUGGCCUCACUGUCCCAUUGACCUCCUGUUGGAGGCAAGCGCCUACCGCUAUCCCACUGGCGUCAGUGUUCAGGAUGAAAGGUAUCCCAAUUGUUGGGUGAAUUAGUAGUGGCUCGCUGGUUAAUAUUCCCUUCACCGUCUCAAAGGCUGACUGCUCUAUCAUACCCCAAGCAAAUCUAUGUCCCUUCCUUAAUAGGUUGCUCAGUGGAGCCAGGACCUCACCUGCGUUGGGAAUAAAGCGUCGGUAGUAGUUAACUGUACCCAAUAGACUUCUGACUGCCUUGAUGUUAUGAGGUCGCUUCAAAUCCCUGAGAGCGGCGACAUUAUCCCACAUGGGUUUGAUCCCAUUUUGGUCGAUUACAUGACCCAGGUACUCUACUGAGUCCCUGAAGAGAUAGCUCUUCCCGUAUUUGGCCUUCAAACCGAACUUACUCAGGCGUUCGAGUACAGCGGCGAGGUCCGCUACAUGCUGCUCGUGAGAGUCGCUGUAGACAAUGACGUCAUCGAUGUACAGGUGAACGCAUUUGAACAACAAGUCACCCAGGACCAAGUUCAUGGCCCACUGGAAGACCUGUGCUGAGUUUUUAGCUCCUUGUGGCAAACGCGUGAAGCGGUAUCUCCCCCAGGGCAGAGAGAAGGUAAAAUAAUCUCUGUCACUCUCCGGGAUGUGAAUCUGGAAGAAUCCAGAAGUCAGAUCUAAUGUGCUGAAGACCCUUACACCCGCAAAUGCGCGCAGAUUGUCUUCAACACGGGGUAUCGGGAACGGGAAGAAUUCAGUUGCCUCAUUGAUUAUACGUAGAUCCAUGGUGAUGCGAACACUACCAUCAGUUUUGGCAACCGGGAAUAGAGGGGAAUUCCACAGAGAGGUGCUCCCCUCUAUUAUCCCUACUUCCUCCAGUUCGUCUACUAACGCUUUCACCUUUGAGACUAAUCUGUUCGGGAUUGGAUAUUGCCUCCUAUAUACUGGUUUGCUAGUCAGCAUCCUCAGCUUAGGGGCUGUGAUGGUGGAGCCAUUACCCAUAUCUGUUAUGUCCCUACAGAAACAAUGGCUGAAAGCCCUGAAAAUAUCUUCGCCUGUGUGGAUUUCGUUUAAGGGUAUCCUGGGUGGUUGAGGAGACAUUUCUAUUGUUUGUAGUGAGGAAAGAAAGGCUGACUUGGUCGGAUCCUCCUUCCUUUCGUAGUCGGAUCUAAUACUACCGUCGUAGCUGAGGUGUAGUUUUAGAGCUCGGAAACCUGGUAAUCCGAGUAUGCCAUCAAACCCUAAUUCCCCCAUGUGACAAUACUCGAAGGUCGUUCUUACCUCCCUAAUGGGCUUACCAUUCACCACUGCCCCUAUUUCUAACACCUCACUCCCUAAUGACCUUAAAGAUUUUCCUGAUAUACCUUUAAGGUAGGUAGGCUUGUCUAGUCCCUCAGUGCAUAAAUUUAAAUUGUCAAUAUUUACAAUGUUGGCCUCUGAGCCUGAAUCUAUGAUAAAUUUUAGAGACCUCUCGCCCAGAGACCUCCCUUUAUUUAAGAUAUAUACAUUUAUGGCAGGUAAACUGGCCGCAAAUCCCCCUCCUGCCUUGAGGCAAGCCGGGCCUAGUUUUUUCUCUGUUUCUGCUGGCAGUCUCGGAUGAGAUGCCCUGGCUCGCCGCACCCGUAGCACUUGGGGGGCGGUCUCCCUGUACCCUGCUUCUUGUAGUCCACUCCAGGGUUCUCCUCCCUUUCACCGUUGGGUUCCCUCCUUUGUUGUCUAGGCGGGGAUGGAUUCCGUUGUUGUCUGGGUGGUUGUUGUGCUGGUCUCCUCUGCCAGUUCCUGAAGGGGGCUCCCCUCCUGCUAUCCUGGGCGUUGUCUCCGUAAUCCCUUCUCCCUGCGGGGUGUGAUGGCCACCUUCCUCCCCCGCUAUUUGCACUAUUGGCACUCCCUCUUUGUCUUCUAAGGGCUGCAUUCUCUAUUUCUAGUGCCUCCAUUUUCUUCUCCAGCUCGGCCAAUUUGUUGCCCAUGUCACCCAGCCUCUGACCGUUCCUGUCGGCGCUGGAGCGCUGCGCCUCCCUGUAGUCUUCCUCUCUCUGUUCCAGCCACUGUAGUUUGGUAACUAGGGUCUCCCAGGGUUCGCCUUGGUAUAGAUGAGCCUUCUCCCACAGGCUGGGGCAGAGUCCGUCGAUGAAAACCUCCGCGAUCUCCGAGGUGCCUAUCUUCAGGCCAUCCGACUCUGCACCCGCUGCAAGGUCGCUCACCCGUGCGGCGAAGUCUCGUACUUUCUCUCCGGCCCCCUAUCUACAUGAGAAGAACUGGCUCCUCAUCUCCCUUGUAGAGACCCUCUUUCGGAACCUCCCCUCUAGACUCUCCUUCAACUCUUCGUACCCGAGGCGGAUUUGCUGAGAUUGUAGGGCAAACUCCCUCGCAGCCCCCCGGAGGUGGUUGUCCAAGAGGAUUCUUUUCCUGGCGUCGUCUAGGGCCCUUAGGUCGUAGACAAGCUCAAAGUCCUUUAUGAAUUUUGUGAAGGGGACUAUGCCCUUCCCUUCAAACUUUUCCAGGUUGUACAGCAUGGAGGGCAGCUGGGCUUGGCUAGUUGUGGCAUUCUCUUCAUCAGCAGGCAUGGUCCUCAGUUGUUGGAUCUACAGGAACUAGGUAUUAGUCAUUCACCCUGGUUGUAACGGUAGUAUCAGGACCCAUAGAGGCGGGCGAAGUAGGGAACACAAAACAGAAGGAAGGGGAGGAGCCUUUCUUAAUCAUGUUCCUAAAACACUGUGGGGUUCACGUUUCAAAAAAAAAAAAAAAAUGGUAAUCAGAACAUAGAAAACCACAUGUGGUCGCAAAAGGAAAUUUACUCUCAUCAGUGCGGGAGAUGGAGGAGCUCACUGUUACACAGUGUCGCGUGGAUGUGGACGCAAACAUCGCGUUUCUGCAGUUAUCACACUGCUGAGUAAAUGAAGAUUCUAUAAAAGAAAUCCGAGUGAUAAAAAAAACUGGUAUUCAAAGACAUAGAAACCAUAUGUGUAUGUAUAAGGAGAUUUACUCUCAUCAGUGUGGGAGAUGGGGGAGCUCACUGUUAUACAGUGUCGUGUGGAUGUGGACGCAAACAUCGCGUUUCUGCAGUUAUCACACUGCUGAGUAAAUGGAGAUUCUAUAAAAGAAAUCCGAGUGAUAAAAAGGAAAAACUGGUAUUCAAAGACAUAGAAACCAUAUGUGUAUGUAUAAGGAGAAAAAAAUACUCCAAUUUUCAACAGCCUACAGACUUAUUUUCAAAUUCAUCAAGAUAUUCUAUUCAUAAACGAGGCCCCUUGCCAAGAGCUACUCCCCACAGGCAGUCAUAUGGAAGGAACCUUCAAAAGUUUAAUACACCAAUAACUAUGACAAAGAUGUCCCCAACUCAAUGCAGGUAACCUACACCUAAUGAGAUGUCUAGGGAGAUGGGGGAGCUCACUGUUACACAGUGUCGUGUGGAUGUGGACGCAAACAUCGCGCUUCUGCAGUUAUCACACUGCUGAAUAAAUGAAGAUUCUAUAAAAGAAAUCCGAGUGAUAAAAAGAAAAAAUUUGGUAUUCAAAAACAUAGAAACCAUAUGUGUAUGUAUAAGGAGAUUUACUCUCAUCAGUGUGGGAGAUGGAGGAGCUCACUGUUACACAGUGUCGUGUGGAUGUGGACGCAAACAUCGCGUUUCUGCAGUUAUCACACUGCUGAGUAAAUGAAGAUUCUAUAAAAGAAAUCCGAGUGAAAAAAAAAAACUGGUAUUCAAAGACAUAGAAACCAUAUGUGUAUGUAUAAGGAGAUUUACUCUCAUCAGUGUGGGAGAUGGGGGAGCUCACUGUUACACAGUGCCGUGUGGAUGUGGACGCAAACAUCGCGCUUCUGCAGUUAUCACACUGCUGAAUAAAUGAAGACUCUAUAAAAGAAAUCCGAGUGAUAAAAAGAAAAAAAUUGGUAUUCAAAAACAUAGAAACCAUAUGUGUAUGUAUAAGGAGAUUUACUCUCAUCAGUGUGGGAGAUGGAGGAGCUCACUGUUACACAGUGUCGUGUGGAUGUGGACGCAAACAUCGCGCUUCUGCAGUUAUCACACUGCUGAAUAAAUGAAGAUUCUAUAAAAGAAAUCCGAGUGAUAAAAAGAAAAAAUUUGGUAUUCAAAAACAUAGAAACCAUAUGUGUAUGUAUAAGGAGAUUUACUCUCAUCAGUGUGGGAGAUGGAGGAGCUCACUGUUACACAGUGUCGUGUGGAUGUGGACGCAAACAUCGCGCUUCUGCAGUUAUCACACUGCUGAAUAAAUUAAGAUUCUAUAAAAGAAAUCCGAGUGAUAAAAAGAAAAAAAUUUGGUAUUCAAAAACAUAGAAACCAUAUGUGUAUGUAUAAGGAGAUUUACUCUCAUCAGUGUGGGAGAUGGAGGAGCUCACUGUUACACAGUGUCGUGUGGAUGUGGACGCAAACAUCGCGUUUCUGCAGUUAUCACACUGCUGAGUAAAUGGAGAUUCUAUAAAAGAAAUCCGAGUGAUAAAAUGAGAAAAAAAAAACUGGUAUUCAAAGACAUAGAAACCAUAUGUGUAUGUAUAAGGAGAUUUACCCUCAUCAGUGUGGGAGAUGGGGGAGCUCACUGUUACACAGUGUCGUGUGGAUGUGGAUGCAAACAUCGCGUUUCUGCAGUUAUCACACUGCUGAGUAAAUGGAGAUUCUAUAAAAGAAAUCCGAGUGAUAAAAAGGAAAAAACUGGUAUUCAAAGACAUAGAAACCAUAUGUGUAUGUAUAAGGAGAUUUACUCUAAUUAGUGUGGGAGAUGGGGGAGCUCACUGUUACACAGUGUCGUGUGGAUGUGGACGCGUAAUGGUAACCGAAACAUUUAUUAUGACGUGUAGUGUAUGUAUUGAUUAAAUAGUCAUAAUAAAAUUUCACCCCUUGAUUCUAUUCUAUAGGUCUACUUGCUUAAAAAGAAAAAAAAAAAAAAACGGAAUAGAAUUCAACCUCAGCGCUUUCAAGCCCCACCCGUCCUAGGGGUGAGAUGAAAUAAAUUUCUGGAAUCAAAUUUUAUCUUAAACUCCUGGAAUAUUUCAGACAAUAUUCAAAUUCGAAAGACUUUUCUACUACAGAUGUUCAUAAGCAAAGUCUUGGUCUAGUUGGAAAGUCCAUCGAUUUCCAUCUUUUACACCCUUCCUAUCCUUUUCUCUGCUACAAAACCCAUCACACUAGUAGCUUAAAAAAAACUGCAACUUUACGAUUCAUUACAACGCUAAAACAAACUCAUAGCUAGAAAAUAAAAGAAAGCUGAAACUCUUCAGAUCACAGCCUAUCACUAAGAACAAUGUCGUACAUUGAAAGAUUUUAUUAGUCUAAAUAAAAAAAAAUUUGUCUAACCAAGGUUAUCAACAUCAAAGCCAAGAUUGCAGCCAAUAAAAUUGCUUCUUAACAGGAGAAUACAUAAUUGUUAUUUACCAUAGCCCAAUACUAUAAUAUAGACUUAUGCAUAUAAAGUAGUGUAUACAGUUGCUGGAAUUUAGGUAAAUCAGCCCAUACCAACCCUUAGUGCAUUUUAAAAUCCUUAAUUUUAUAAGCUACAGCCUCGCUAGACCGUCUGUCACCUAUUAGUUUCAAUAGGGGGCCCAUUUCCUGUCCUCAAGCAAACCUUCCCACGUCCGGCCGUUAUCUAUCAAGGGGAGGGGGGGCCGACGAUUUCUAUUUUUAAUUGCCCCGGCUACGACUCUCUUAUCUCGUGGUGACUCAGAAUUACCCCCGCUCGGGGGCCUACUGAGGAAACCGGCCAUCGUGUUCUCUCUCCCCGGGACAUACACAAAUUUUUACGUCGAGGUCCUAGAUGAUCUCUGUCACAUUGUUAACAAAUUACAAAUUAUGAAUAUACAAUUGUUGAAUAUCUAGAAAUUUCCCCUACCUAUUUAUCUAAUCCCUUAACACGUGCAUGUGUCCAUCGCCACUUAGCGGCUGUUAUUAGAAAUUUUCCUCUUUCAUUUAUACAGUAUGAGGCAUAGUAAUUAAGGCUGCAUUUCCAUGAGUUCGAUUCUUCUUACAACAUGCUGAAACGAAAUCAAGUGUGGUUAUAUGACCACUGUCUAUGGAGUAACAUGGUGCAUAUUGGGCUGGGAAAUGACAAAGUUAUUUCGCUCCUUUAAGAUUCUAAUUGUGACUGAGUUUUCUGUUGAGUUAUGAUGAUACACUGUGAAUUUGGUAGGGAAGUUAUUUUGUAGGGCUGUGUUGCAUAUCAGGGGUUUUGCUUGUUCCUGGGUUAGAAAUUUUAUAUUAUUCCUUAUUACUGUCAGUCUGAUAAUUACAUUCCUGGCUCAUGAGAUAUGUGUGCAACUUGUAUAACUCACUGUGGAAAUAUUUGUGGACAUUUAAGAAUUUACAGGAGUAUAUCUAAUAUGGAGGAGUCACCUCAGCUCGAUCUAUCCACAUUUUUGUUCUGGAAUUUAGCGCCAUAUUCUAGAUGG